rnacentral:rRNA from 1 species
UGCCAGCCGCCGCGGUAAUACGUGUGGAGCAGGCGUUGUUCGGAAUUACUGGGCUUAAAGGGUGUGUAGGCGGUCUUCUAAGUCAGUGGUGAAAGUCGGUCGCCCAACGAUCGAAUUGCCAUUGAUACUGGUCGACUUGAGUGUGUUAGGGGUAAGCGGAACGUGUGGUGUAGCGGUGAAAUGCGUAGAUAUCACACGGAAGGCCGGAGCCGAAGGGGGCUUACUGGGACACAACUGACGCUGAGACACGAAAGCGUGGGGAGCAAACAGGAUUAGAUA